AGAAGAUAAAACCUAAAGGUUAAGGUAUUUGAUUUGAGAUCUUAGUUUAUGGGUUCGAUUCCCAUAUCUUCUU
rnacentral:tRNA from 1 species